AUUGAACGCUGGCGGCAGGCUUAACACAUGCAAGUCGAGCGGGGUGAUGGUGCUUGCACUAUCACUUAGCGGCGGACGGGUGAGUAAUGCUUAGGAAUCUGCCUAUUAGUGGGGGACAACAUCUGGUAAGGGAUGCUAAUACCGCAUACGUCCUACGGGAGAAAGCAGGGGAUCACUUGUGACCUUGCGCUAAUAGAUGAGACUAAGUAGGAUUAGCUAGUUGGUGGGGUAAGGGCCUACCAAGGCGACGAUCUGUAGCGGGUCUGAGAGGAUGAUCCGCCACACUGGGACUGAGACACGGCCCAGACUCCUACGGGAGGCAGCAGUGGGGAAUAUUGGACAAUGGGGGGAACCCUGAUCCAGCCAUGCCGCGUGUGUGAAGAAGGCCUUAUGGUUGUAAAGCACUUUAAGCGAGGAGGAGGCUCUUUUGGUUAAUACCCAAGAUGAGUGGACGUUACUCGCAGAAUAAGCACCGGCUAACUCUGUGCCAGCCGCCGCGGUAA
rnacentral:rRNA from 1 species